rnacentral:rRNA from 1 species
UACGGGGGGGGCAAGCGUUGUUCGGAAUUACUGGGGGUAAAGGGCUCGUAGGUGGCCAACUAAGUCAGACGUGAAAUCCCUCGGCUCAACUGAGGAACUGCCUUUGAAACUGUCUGGCUUGAGGCCGGGAGAGGGUAGCGGAAUUCCCAGUGUAGCGGUGAAAUGCGUAGAUACUGGGAGGAACACCGGUGGCGAAGGCGGCUACCUGGACCGGUUCUGACGCUGAUGCGCGAAAGCGUGGGUAGCAAACAGG